GGCGGAAGUAGUGACUAGGGAAAUAAGAAGGAAGGAAAGAGGCCUGCUGGGCUCUGUAGAGGGCACGGCGCUCCUCCUCCACCGCCGCCUCCUCUUCCUCCCGUGGGAAGCUCCUGGCGGCCGCACGUGCCGCCCAGCCCAGGCUCCUCCCCUCCCCUGCCCCCGCCCGGGAGCGGCCAGGCGCUGCUUUCUCUCCGCCCGCCGAGAUGGCGCUCGACCCCGCAGGGCAGCAUCUCAGACAUGUUGAAAAGGAUGUUUUGAUCCCUAAAAUAAUGAGAGAAAAAGCCCGAGAGAGAUGUUCUGAACAAGUUCAAGAUUUUACCAAAUGUUGCAAAGACUCUGGAAUCCUUAUGGUAGUAAAAUGCCGGAAAGAAAAUUCUGCAUUGAAAGAAUGCCUAACUGCUCAUUAUAAUGAUCCAGCCUUUUAUGAAGAAUGCAAAAUGGAAUACCUGAAGGAAAGGGAAGAAUUCAGAAAAACUGGAAUUCCUACCAAGAAAAGGCUACAGAAGCUUCCCACAAGCAUGUAGGUGUGUCCCUGCUCUGCUUAGGAAUAGGUUCCAUUUGGGCAGAAUCUCCAUUUCCUUUUAAAGAUGAUGCAGAUUUUAUUUUCACUGAUAGGAGACCAAGAGGAAGGAGAGAUUGUACUCCCUGGAGUCAGCUGUGUUCAUUGGUCAGAAUAAAUUCCAGCAUCUGACACCAAUUCCAUUAAUCACAGACAAGCCUGAAUAAGUGAGUAAGAUAAUAGAAAGACAGAGAAAUAUCUGGUGAACGGUGAACAUUGUUUAUGUAUGUAUGCUAUUCAGUUAAUAUAGAAGAGAUCUGAGAUACUCUUUUGAGUUCAAGAUAUUUGAAACUGUCUAUCAAAAAGGAUAAAGGCUUCCUACAUGAAACACUUUAUCUCAGGGAAAAGAUGUAUAAGCCAACUAAUAUAUUAUAUUACUAAUAUGUUAAUAUCACCAUCCUGUAAGAAUUUAGAUAGAUUUGUGUGAAGCCAUCCUUGUUAUAUGCUUGUUUAUAAAUGAUAGACCACUAAGAAUCAAAAAGUCUGGGGACAUUUCAUGAUUGUACUAGAUCAAUACAGCACAGAAUUUGGUUUACAGAAUUACAAUUCCUAAUUUGGUUAAUGAAAAAUCACUAUCUUAAUGAGUACAAUGUUACAUUUCAAAUAAACUAGCAAUUUAUAAGUUGCUCUACAUAACCAUCAGGUACAGACCCUGAUGAAAAUGACUUUAUCCAGUUACAUACUUAGAUUUUCAUUAUGGACCACUGAUGGCACAGAUUUAGACUAAAACCUUUGUGGUACUCUUUCUGCUUCUCAUUGAAUACUAUAGAAUUAUAAUAGUUCACACACAUUUUCACUUUUCAGUUAGGAUUUGAGGAAUGUAUAGGACAAGGUUGGCUUUGAUGAUCAGGUUAUUUCAAGUUUUAACACUGUGAUUAAAAAAAGUCUUAAACUUUGAAAACAUAAUAGCAUACGGAGAUGGAAUAACCUGUAAGAGAUGCUAUUAUUUAACUAUAACACUUUUUGUCUUUAUUCAGUAGGUCAACAGAAACAUAACUUACUCAUUUUGCCAUUUGCUCUUUUUUGCAACUUAAAGCAACUUCUAAUUUGUCUCAUAUUAAUGGCUUCUUAUUUUUACGAAUGGAUAUUUAGGCAUUUCACAUGCUUUAUAAAACCAUGUCCAAGAAAUUUUAAUUCCAUUCUUUAUGUGAGGCUGUUAUUUACAAUUACUAUCAAAGGUAAAAUUGUCUCUUUAAAACGCCUUAAGCUUAUUUAUUAGUAAGUAGCAUAUGUCUGAUUCUUAGCCAGAACGUGAAGCUGGACGGUGCUCUUUCACAUUGGAAAAUCAACUACAUAAUGUGGAACAGUAUGUGCAAACGUAUAUACCGAAGAACUUUGCAAAGUUUAAUCAAAAUCUGCUUUCAGUUUGUUAAAUAAUUUCUUGAGAGUGCCACUGAGGGAGAUACAAUAACCUCAUGACCAAAUCAUGAAUCUCUUCAGAAUUAAUUCUUAAAAAGACAGUUUUGAUUAUGUUGAUCCAAGUAAUGCAGUGGUGGCAGGUUGGGUAAAGGCAAAGUUUUAUUUUUAGUUUCCCCAAAUGCUGUCUCACUUGAUUUAGGAGGGCUUGGGAAUACCCAAGAAUUAUCUUCCAGAGAAUUUCUGCCAUAAGAGCUGUGUUCCUGAAAGUUAGGACCAUCAUGAAGAACGGAUCGCUCAUUAUCUGUCCAUGAUUGGAGAAUUGCUUUCUCUGAUAAAACCUUUAUAUCUCCUGGUAAAGGGGAAGAUGUGGUAUGGCAAACACUUUUGCCGUUCGGUGAGAGGGGGGAAUGUCUUUUGUAUGUUGCAGUAAAAUUCGCCAAGUGCAGUUUUGUGCUGUCUUUCCCAAGGUCUUCCAUGCAUCCUACUGGGGCACAGGCUAAAAAGAAAGCACAGGCUAAAUGUCAGUUGUCAAGGCAUUUGUGAUCAUAAAACACAUAACACUUCAUUAAUUUGGUUAAAUGUAGAACGGGAAAUAAAAUUAACAUUUCUAAGUUCGCGUGACCACUGGGGCACUGUGACUUGAAGACUGAUGAAAAGUGAUCUGAGUUCUAAUUCUGGAUCACUAUUUACUGGCAUUGUGACUUUUAGAUAGGUUAAGUCAUUUACAUCCACGUGUUACUUAUUUCCAAAAUGGACAUAGUUAUCUUGUCCUGCCUAUAUCACAGAAUAAUUAAUGAAGAUGAAGAAUUCCAUAGAAGUUAGAAGCCAAUAAAGUUAAAAUACAGAAAGGAUCCCCUUCUUGGCUUAUAGUGUGGCUAGAAAAUGUUUGCAGACUACAUGUCAGUGGAAACUAAGCUGUUCUAAAGUAAUGUUUUAUUAAAUAUAAUAUCCUUUGCUUAUUCAAAUCUUUUUUCCAUAGGUGCUUCAAAAGUAAAUUUUUUCAGAAAUAAUUACAUUGUGAAUUGAUCCAAAGGUUUUUAUGGAUAAAAGUUUUAAUACAUAAUAAUCUGUUUCUUAAAUAAACAUAUAUUUCUGCUGUGGUUACAGUAAUAGGUCAAGGAAAAAAAUGUUAAGUAUGCACAUAAUGGCUUAGAAAACAAACUGCUUUAAAGCUGUUAUUUAGUAAUAGCCAACAUAAUGGUAGUAUGAGUUUAUGAGCUUCUCUGCCCCUUCCAAUUUAACCAACUGUGGCAGAAUGCUAGGAAUUAGAACAAAGACUUGAAUCUAUAAUUUUAUAAAAAACUGAACCACAUUAUAAGCUCAUUGCCUUUUCUUCUUGGGAAGAGGGAUAGAAGAAGUAGAAGUUAAAGGUGCUCAACUUCUGGACAAGAGUGAUCUGUAGAUUAGAAAAAAAGUAGAUUUAGUCUGUCUCUACUCCCCAAAGCACUGAGUGCCGCAGUUAGGAGUGGUGGCCUUGAGCCCGCCACUGUUGUUGUAUGCUAGAAAAUUUAUGGUUCAAUAUACCAAAAGGCAUCCUUCAUCAGAAGGUACAUACAAAUGAGUUAUUAUUAAAUAUGGAAAGAAAAUUCCUCCUAUAUUGUUCUUUGGAAAUUAUUACAUUAAAAAAAGAGCCUCACUGAAAACUCCCUACAAGAUUAUUCUGUGUUCCUUUUAAAAGGAGGAACUUCCCCAUCGACAUACCUUGGCCUCAUAUGUAACCCUGGCCACUGGAAAACUCAAGGGCAAAAUGAACCAUAAAUUAAGUUGGAGCCUGCUAGAGCACUGUAUUAGUUUUCCUGAUUCAUAAAUAACUCUCACGAAACUGAAAGGAGUUUUGACUUUAGUUUUCCUUUUUCCCUACUAGUAAACACUCCUGAGGAGAUUUAUAAAACAAAAUUCUCUUGUGCCCUCUUUAGCAGCAAUACGAGGUGCAUAUAAUUUUAAAUUAGGUGGUAGUGAAUAUAAAGUCACAUCUCAUUCCUUUAAAAUAAACUUAGGGCAUUCAAAUUUACAACUUUUCAAAAAUAUACUUAUUAUGUAAUAAAAAGUGCAAAUGCACUGAUUGAGGUAUAAAAAUAGCUUUGGCAAAACAGUACUAUAUUAGCCCAAAACUCAGAAAGUGUAGUCAGCCAAGCAGUUACAUAUGAAAAGCAAAUCAAUGAAAAUUUUCAUUUCAUUGAAAGAGAUAAGGGGAUAACACCUGGUCUCCAUUCUAAAUAAUCUAUCCUUUAUGGAAAGAAAAAUUGUUUACCAAAUGAACCCAAUAAAUGCAUCAAAGUAAUUUUCUUCAAAAACAAUUUAAAGAGCUAGGUCUUUGAUAUAUUCUGUAACGCUGGAAUAAAAAAUAGCUUUCGGUG